CCUACGUGAGGCAGCAGUAGGGAAUCUUCCACAAUGGGCGAAAGCCUGAUGGAGCAACGCCGCGUGGGUGAAGAAGGUCUUCGGAUCGUAAAACCCUGUUGUUAGAGAAGAAAGUGCGUGAGAGUAACUGUUCACGUUUCGACGGUAUCUAACCAGAAAGCCACGGCUAACUACGUGCCAGCAGCCGCGGUAAUACGUAGGUGGCAAGCGUUAUCCGGAUUUAUUGGGCGUAAAGGGAACGCAGGCGGUCUUUUAAGUCUGAUGUGAAAGCCUUCGGCUUAACCGGAGUAGUGCAUUGGAAACUGGGAGACUUGAGGGCAGAAGAGGAGAGUGGAACUCCAUGUGUAGCGGUGAAAUGCGGAGAUAUAUGGAAGAACACCAGUGGCGAAAGCGGCUCUCUGGUCUGUAACUGACGCUGAGGUUCGAAAGCGUGGGUAGCAAACAGGAUUAGAUACCCUAGUAGUC
rnacentral:rRNA from 1 species